rnacentral:rRNA from 1 species
GAUGAACGCUAGCGGCAGGCUUAACACAUGCAAGUCGAGGGGUAACAUUGUGCUUGCACAGAUGACGACCGGCGCACGGGUGCGUAACGCGUAUAGAACCUACCUUUUACAGAGGAAUAGCCUUUAGAAAUGAAGAUUAAUGCCUCAUAGUAUUGAUUAAUCGCAUGAUUAAUUAAUUAAAGAUUUAUCGGUAAAAGAUGGCUAUGCGUCCUAUUAGUUAGUUGGUAAGGUAACGGCUUACCAAGA